GCGGCGGAGGCUUAGUGGCUUAGCAUAGGAUUGCAAAAUGCAUCCAUCCUGGGGUCCCGAGUUCGAUUCUCGGUCGCCGCU
rnacentral:tRNA from 2 species